UCAAAAAAUAGUUUAAUAAAAAUAAUAAUUUUGGAGAUUAUUGAUAAGAUAAUUUUCUUUUUUUUGAA
rnacentral:tRNA from 1 species